rnacentral:ncRNA from 1 species
GCGUCCUGCUCGUGAUCGUCUUCUCACCCUUCACGGAGCGGGCGGAAGAAAGGGAGCCCCCGCGAGGACAUGACUCGCGGGGGCUCUCC